UACGUAGGGGGCAAGCGUUGUCCGGAUUUACUGGGCGUAAAGAGCGUGUAGGCGGCCACGCAGGUCCGUUGUGAAAACUGGAGGCUCAACCUCCAGCUGUCGACGGAAACCGUAUGGCUAGAGUCCGGAAGAGGAGAGUGGAAUUCCUGGUGUAGCGGUGAAAUGCGUUGAUAUCAUCAGGAACACCGGUGGCGAAGGCGGCUUUCUGGGUCUUACCUGACGCUGAGGAACGAAAGCCAGGGGAGCGAACGGG
rnacentral:rRNA from 1 species